rnacentral:antisense_RNA from 1 species
CCACCAUUACCACCACUAUUGCCAUCAUUAUUGCUAUCACCAUUGCUAUCACCAUUAUUUAAUUUCAACUUUUUGGAUUUGCAACUGCUACUAGAACAACAAGAAGAUUUCUUUUCUGAUUCCUCUGAUUGCUCAUUACCUCCAUCGCCCUCUUGUGUUCUAGGUGGUUCUGUUGGCAUUUCUUCACCAAAUCCUCCGUAAUAACCAGUUACAGACCAAACAUGUUUAGGUUGAGUCGGGUUUCCAAUUUCUAUAGAUCCGCGAUUAGAACUACUUGAGCAGCAACUAUCAUCAGAAGAACAAGAAGAAGAACAACAACAACAUAAUCUUCUUAAAAAUCUUCUCGGAGAACUUAAUUUAAUAAGAGAAUGAUCAACAUGGGUAUUUAAACUCAAAAUUUGAUCAUGGAUUCCAAGGAAAUUUGACAAAAAAGCCAAACAUAAUACUAGAGGAAUAAAAUUUAACUUUACUGUAUUCAUUAUUAAAAAAUAAAAUUUAUGUAAAAACUGACAUUCAUAUGAUCAGCAAGGAAGAAAACUGUCUCAAUCAUAAUUAGGCGGUUCUUAAGACGUUUU